rnacentral:antisense_RNA from 1 species
AUGCGCAACCCGCGCGCCGUCGUCCCUGGCAACACUGGCUGCGCCAGCGCCGGGCGGGGUCUCACCGGCCGGGCCUGGGCGCGCAGCCAGAGCGCCAGGUCCCCACCCCCAGCCCCCGGCGUCCUGCAGCCCGAGCCCGCCUCGUCUGGCUCCUGCUCCCGCCGUCCAGGGCCCCUGUCCAAGCUCGCGGACGCCGGCGGCGUUUUCCAACUCGAGUGCCCAGCCUAGGGCAGGCUCUGCGUGCGCCCCCUCGAGUGGAGGCGGCGCUGGCCUGGGCCCUGCCGGGCAGAGGCGCUCUUGCAUCAGGACGGCGCCGCCGGGGCCCCGCGAUUCCAACUCGGGGGUCCCGGAGCGGCGCGGGGCGGGGACGACCUGGCAGCUCCCAGCAGCGAGGGGCGAUCCCCCCUCCGCAGCAGACCCCGAGCUGCCCAGGCCCUUCCUGCGCCACGUGUACCCAGAGCUCCGCCCGGGGGAGACUUCGCUGCUUGUUGGAGAUGCCCAGCGGUAGGGGGCGAGGACUCGGGAGGAAGGGAAACGGGGGAUCCCGUGUCUGGACUUUCUCCUCCACCCUCUUCUCUUCGCAGCUGUAAAGCCUGGGAGAGGAAGGGUGGCCGCCCCGCCAGCAGAGAGCCGAAGGUGUUCCGUGGUCAGUGAGGGCUGGCACUGGCUCUGCACGAAGAUCUCCUCACCUCCCCAGCAGCUCCUGGCCAGCUCCCCACGGAGAGCCCAGGGCACUUGUCCCUGGAAACAGUCGUGCAGCCAUGCUUGGGCCAAAGCCCAUGAGGCCCCCAGAACCACGAAAGGCUACUCUACUGAGAGGCAUACUGUGAGAGAGGCCCACGGGUUUCCAAGCAUCCCUCUCACUCCACACACUCAUCUCCACGACCAGCUUUAAGUGCCACCUUGAGGCCUGGCUCCCUGUUUGGACUUCUCUGCACCUCCAGGAGCUCACUUCCCGUCGCAGCUGGAUGCCUUCUGCCCCAGGCUGCACCUUCUGUGGGACUGACCCCCGCAGGCACCUCCCCGGCAUCCUCCCGCCCCAGGCUGCAGCUUCUGUGGUACUGACCUUAAGACCCUGUCGGUUCCUCCUGAGAGCAGCAGGUCUCAGCCAGAUGCUGCGGGGAGGGAGGUAUUAGAGUCCACACCCAUACAGGGGUCCGGUCCAGCCCUGCUCUCCCUGGUCUCCAGGCAGGGCCCUCCCAGGGUGGACAUUAUUCCCCAUCUCUGCCUGGCCAGGGGGCUGCUGACCCACUGGUUCCAGAGUCUGAGCCUGUCCUGCACAAGUACCAUGGACAGGGGUCAGCCGGGCACUGAAGAGGAGUGGCAGAAUUGGGCAGGGCAAGGGCCCCAGCUGGCAAGCUAGAGUCAGGGCAAUUCCAACCAAGAAACUGCGGCAGGCCAGGUUCAGUGUCUCAAGCCUGUAAUCCCAGCACUUUGGGAGGCAGUGGGUGAAUCGCUUGAGCCCGGGAGUUUGAGACCAGCAUUGGCAACAUAGAGACACCCUAUCACUACAAGAAAAAAAAAAAAAAAAAAAAAAGCUGGGCAUGGUGGUGCACACCUGUUGUCCCAGCUACUCAGGAGGCUGAGGUAGGAGGAUUGCUUGUGCCCAGGGGUUGCAGGCUUCAGUGAGCUGUGAUCAUACCACUGCACUCCAGCCUGGGCGACAGAGAACCUCUCUAAAAAAAAGUAAAAUGAAAAAUAAACGGGGGCAGAAGCUGAGCCAAGCAGAGGCGGGCAGCUCUUCCUCCAGGGCCCACCUGGCCUGUUGAGGA